rnacentral:tRNA from 1 species
GUCCUUGUAGCUCAAUCGGAUAGAGCAACUCCCUUCUAAGGAGUAGGUUGGGGGUUCGAGUCCCUUCAAGGACG